rnacentral:rRNA from 1 species
GGCCUAACACAUGCAAGUCGAGCGGUAGAGAGAAGCUUGCUUCUCUUGAGAGCGGCGGACGGGUGAGUAAUACCUAGGAAUCUGCCUGAUAGUGGGGGAUAACGUUCGGAAACGGACGCUAAUACCGCAUACGUCCUACGGGAGAAAGCAGGGGACCUUCGGGCCUUGCGCUAUCAGAUGAGCCUAGGUCGGAUUAGCUAGUUGGUGAGGUAAUGGCUCACCAAGGCUACGAUCCGUAACUGGUCUGAGAGGAUGAUCAGUCACACUGGAACUGAGACACGGUCCAGACUCCUACGGGAGGCAGCAGUGGGGAAUAUUGGACAAUGGGCGAAAGCCUGAUCCAGCCAUGCCGCGUGUGUGAAGAAGGUCUUCGGAUUGUAAAGCACUUUAAGUUGGGAGGAAGGGCAGUUACCUAAUACGUGAUUGUCUUGACGUUACCGACGGAAUAAGCACCGGCUAACUCUGUGCCAGCAGCCGCGGUAAUACAGGGGGUGCAAGCGUUAAUCGGAAUUACUGGGCGUAAAGCGCGCGUAGGUGGUUUGUUAAGUUGAAUGUGAAAUCCCCGGGCUCAACCUGGGAACUGCAUCCAAAACUGGCAAGCUAGAGUAUGGUAGAGGGUAGUGGAAUUUCCUGUGUAGCGGUGAAAUGCGUAGAUAUAGGAAGGAACACCAGUGGCGAAGGCGACUACCUGGACUGAUACUGACACUGAGGUGCGAAAGC